rnacentral:rRNA from 1 species
AGGGAACGCUGGCGGAAGGCCUAACACAUGCAAGUCAAACGACAGCACAGUAAGAGCUUGCUCUUACGGGUGGCGAGUGGCGGACGGGUGAGGAAUACAUCGGAAUCUACUUUUUCGUGGGGGAUAACGUAGGGAAACUUACGCUAAUACCGCAUACGACCUACGGGUGAAAGCAGGGGAUCUUCGGACCUUGCGCGAUUGAAUGAGCCGAUGUCGGAUUAGCUAGUUGGCGGGGUAAAGGCCCACCAAGGCGACGAUCCGUAGCUGGUCUGAGAGGAUGAUCAGCCACACUGGAACUGAGACACGGUCCAGACUCCUACGGGAGGCAGCAGUGGGGAAUAUUGGACAAUGGGCGCAAGCCUGAUCCAGCCAUACCGCGUGGGUGAAGAAGGCCUUCGGGUUGUAAAGCCCUUUUGUUGGGACAGAAAAGCAGCCGGUUACUACCACGCUGUCCCGACGGUACGCACAGCCUAAGUAGAGGCUAAUCCUGUG